GGACCAUAUCUCAGUGGGUAGAGUGUUUGCCUUACAAGCAGAAGGUCCCAAGUUAAAUCCCUGAUGGCAUCU